UACGUAGGGUGCAAGCGUUGUCCGGAAUUAUUGGGCGUAAAGAGCUCGUAGGUGGCGGGUCACGUCGGGUGUGAAAGCCCGGGGCUUAACUCCGGGUCUGCAUUCGAUACGGGUCUGCUGGGGUCCGGCAGGGGAGACUGGAAUUCCUGGUGUAGCGGUGAAAUGCGCAAAUAUCAGGAGGAACACCGGUGGCGAAGGCGGGUCUCUGGGCCGGUACCGACGCUGAGGAGCGAAAGCGUGGGGAGCGAACAGG
rnacentral:rRNA from 1 species